AUAGUGUAGUAGUAGAGCAAAUACAUGCAGGAAGCUCUGGUUUUGAUACCCAGUGCUGAAAAACAAAUAAACAACAGUGGCAUUCUUGGCUUUUCUCCUUAUCAUAGGAAAGUGUCUAUCAUGUUACCAUUUGAUACAGUAUUAGUUUUUCAUAGAUAGUCUUCAUUACGUAAUGUUCUCUUCUACUUUGCUAAAAAUUUUAAUCAUGAAUGGAUGCAGAAACUUAACUGCUGUUUUCUGCAUCUAUUGAUCUUUCUUCCUUCCCUAUUUCCCAAGAGUUUAUAUAAAAUUGGUAUUAUGUAAUUCCUUAAUAUUUAAUAGAAUUCUCUAGUGAAACCCUCUGGGUUUAGAACAUUCUUUGUAGAAAAGUUUUGACAACAAAUUGACUUUUGUUAAUAAAUGGCUAUCCUGAUUUUCCAUUACAUCUUAUGUUCCAGUAAGCUGGAUUUUAAAAGACAUUUGCCCAACACAUUGAUUUUUUUAAAUAUAAAAUCAUUCAUUAUAUUUUUUCACUAUCCUUCAAAAAUGUCUGUAGAAUCUAUGUUGAUAUUUAGUCAUUUAUUUUGGUAAUUCGUGUUUUCUUUUUAAACCUCCACCAGACUUACUAAGGGAUAAUACUUGUAUUAAUCUUUCCUAAGAAGCAGAUUUAAUUUUGAUAAUUUUUUUCCUGUAGUUUCUUUUCUAUUUCAUUGAUUUCUGCUCUUUGUUAUUUCAUUGCUUUUCCUUGAUUUGGGUUUAAUUGGCUUGUGUCAUUCAAGUUUCACAGGAUUGAAGCUUUUUGAUAUUGUCCCUCUCCUAUCAAUUCCCUCGAAGGCAGAAUGUUUUUUUUUUUUUUUUUUCUAAAGUAAAACUAUAAAAUUCUCUCUAAAAACUGCCCUAACCUUAACAUUUUCAUAUAUAGUGUUUUUUUUUUAUCAAUCAGUUCAAAAUAUGUUCUCAUUUCCCUUUGGAUUGUAAUGAUCAUGAAUUAUAAUAAGAGUUUAAGGUCUUUCAAAAAAUCUUUUUCUUUUUUUCUAACCUAAUUGAAUUAUCAUUUAAGAACUACCUCUACAAAAUGUAAAUAUUUGAAAUUUGCUAAGACUUUUUAAUGGCUCAGCAUAUGCUUAAUCUGCAUUUCUCUACUUUCUAUAUACAUUUGAAAAGAUCAUAUUUUCCAGUUAUUGGAUGAAGUGUUUUACAAAUAUUAAUUUUAUAAAUAUCAAGGUGACUAUACUUUUGUUCUGAAUUCUUUAAGCUUUACUGAUUUUCCCCCUCUUUUUCUAGCAAUCACUGAGAUAGGCAGGUUAGCAUCUAUUAUUUCUUCCUUUAGUUCUGUCAAUUUGGGCCUCAGCUACUAUUAACCUUGUUACUAGCUAAACUAUACUUAGCGUUAUGCUCUCCAGAUGAAAUUCACUUCUUAUCAUUAUAAACAUCCUCUCCAUCUCGGAUAGAAUAUCUUGUCAUGAAGUCUGUUUUGUCUAAUAUUAAAGAAACUUUAUUUUGGAUUUAGUGUAUAUUUGGGACUUGCUUUUUUAUCCAGUCUGACAAUUUUAGCAUUUUGAGAGCUUAGUUAAUUUACAUGUAAUUUCAUUAUUAACCUGGUUCAAUUCAGUUUUAUCAUUUUGCUGUUUGUUUUCUGUUUGUUUUCUGUUUGUUCCAUCUGUUGACUACUUUUUAUUUCUCUUUUCCGAACUUGUUUUGUGUUAAUUAUUUCUUCUUAUUCUAUUUUAUUUUCUUUGGCUGCUUUUUCUCUUUUUCACUUUGUAUUUGUUUAGUGGUUGUUCUAAGGGAUCACAUUGAAUGAUCACUAACCUUAAAUUAUCACUAUUCAGAGUGCAGAGUGGAUAUUUUAUAUAUAUAUAAUAUAUAUAUAUAGUUUUAAUACCCAGUGCUGAAAAACAAGUAAACAACAGUGACAUAUAUAUAAUCUGAUGUAAAACAUAAUGAUCUUUCCAGAGUAUUGUUCCACUCCAAAUCAUUUUUUGCUUUUGUUCUUGUAUAUUUUACAUGUAUAUACAUCAUAAUAUACAGUACAGUGUUGAGAUUUUUACUUUAAGUUGUUUUUAGUCUUCAAAUAAAUUGAGAAGAAUUUUAAGAGAGAUAUCCACAUAUUAAUCAUUUCCAAUGUUCUUAAUUUUUCAACCUAAAGAACUCUGUGUACCAUUUCUGUAAUACAGUUUUGUUGGCAAACUGUACUCUUAAUUGUUUUUCUUUUAAUUUUUCCCCCACCACCUUUCAUCCCUUGAUAGAGUCGAGCUCAUUUCCACUUCUGGGACUUCUGUUGGACCCAGCUCUUCACCUCAAAGGCCAUUCAUUAUCCUCUGGCUUCAUUUCAUACUUCAGAGAACCCUGUGAACCAAACAAGGAAAUCACUGCUCUUCCCACUUCUGUUCCUCUCAUCCUCCUCUUUACUUUCUGUGCAAUGCUUUCACAACCUUUAAUUGUGUUUUCCAUUGGUUUACUUGUGUCUGGUUUUUCUCCCUGAUUAACUCCAUAAGCAAAUAUGCUGUGUCUUAUUCUUUCCUGUAUUCUUGGCAUUCAGCAAAAUACCUGGCACUGUAAUACAGGCUCGAUCAUGUUUCUCUAAUGCAGAGUGGAUGCAGUUGGAGCCAUAGGGACAUCUAGCUUUGCUAGACUUGAAAAGACACAUUCUGCUAAACUCUCCAGGACCAUCUGUUUUAUAAACACUGUGCUAGGAAAUAUAAAUACAAGUGUGAUUCAUCUUCAAAAAGCUUUUCCAGAUCUUCGGAGUUAGAAGCAAUCCCCUCCUCUUGUUCCCAUUAUGUCUAAGACCAAACUCCCUGUUGUUCUUUUGAUGGUCUAUCUGCACAUUUUACUUGUGUACAUGUCUUCUCUAUCUAGCUGCACUGUCCAUCAGCUCUUGGAAGGCAGGGACAAUAUUUCAAUCCAUUAGUCAAUAGCUGAAAUAACCUUUAGGCUUGCAAGGGCUUUAGGAUAUUCCUAAUAUGGUAUUGUGAAAAUGAAUUGAAUAAGAAAGUUAGCAUUUGGGGUUUAAUAAUAAGAUUCUCUAGUUCUCAAAAGAAAAAAAGAGUUGUAUAAUUCCAAAGUAAUUACAAUUUCAACUGAACAUUAAUAAAGUGCUAAGUUCCCACCAAGGACACUGUGUCUUGUGUGGGGGAGGUUUCCUCUGCUCCUUCUUUACCUUUGUUCUUGUUCAUAUGCACUGCCUUUCCAGUUUAGGAUCCCUGUAGUUUGCAUUGCAAUAAAGUGCCAAAUAUUUCCUGCCCACGCCUCUGUAUGGCUUCAGAGCAUGAGAACUGUUAUGGAAAGCAACAGAUUAGAAUAUUUUUUAGAUAUGUUGGUGUUCUUAAAAAUGCCCAUUUUUAAACAUAAAUAUUUAUGCCUAUUGCCAAGCUGAACCUCCGUUUGCUAUGAGGAGACCUUUGAUUAGUCUGUAGUCUGAAGAGGAUUCAUAUAAAAAUAGUUACCUCUUAUUAUGACAAGACUGAUGGUGAACUCUGGAGGGAGUAAUGCCUGAAGCUGGUUUUCAUAUUUUGAUUCUAUGCAUAAAAGAGCAGAAUGGAUCAGCCCCAGAUAAGCUUUCAGACAACUUCCACAUUGGUUGUGAUAACUUACAGCCUCUGGGUUUGGGGACUGUAAUAAUCUUUCUGAAUCAUGCUUGCCUGUGAAAUGGAAAGCCAAUAUAAGUAGCUCUCUUUAUUUAUUUUUUAUUUUUAUCUUUUGGUACUGGAGAUAGGACCCAGGGGCACUUUGCCACUGAGCUACAUCCCUACCCCUUUUUAUUUUUCAUUUUAAGAGAGGGCUUCACUUAGUUGCUUAGGGCCUUGCUAAGUUUCUGAAGCUGUGUAACAAAUUUGCAGUCCUCCUGCCUCAGCCUCCCAAGUCAUUGGAAUUACAGGCCUGAACCAUUGUACCUGGCUCAGAGCUCUUCUUUAUAAAAUAGCUUUUCUUUUUCUUUUGAAGACCCAGUAUUGUUGUGAUGGCUUCAAGUUUCCCAAAGGAGUACAAGUAUGUGGGGGGAGUUCUUUUUCAAAUGUGAGAACAUGGUAGGGAUGAGGAUUGUAUACAUUUCCAGGGUCCAUCCAAAACUUAUAGAAUUGGCAUGUCCACAAGUUUUGCCUGGGAAUCUAAAGGUUAGCACUAUCACUGGAGGAUGUAUCUGCACUCACCUGAGAGUCAUUUCUCCAGCAAGUAAAGAUUUGACAGUUGUCUAUUAUAUUUCUGAGCUUGGAAGCCAUGCCCAAGAAGUUUUGGGUUCCUUAGACUUUCCAGAGAAGAUCCUGGAUAUUUGUAGUUUUGUUGCUUUAUCCUUUUUUUCUUCCAUAAUUAAAUGGACUCUCUUUUUUUUAAGUGCUGUGGAUUAAACCUAGGGCCUUGUACUUGUUAGACAAGCACUCUGCCACUUAGCUUCAUCUCCAACCCCUUUAAAUUGGCUCUUAAUGGAACAAUUAGAUAAGUCAGUUUGUGAUUGAAAUGAACAGUCCUCAAACUAACCAACCCAGCUUACACAGGACAUUGCACAUAGAUUUCCCUGAAAUGUGCAUCAGAACAUAAAAGUGUGAAUGACCCCAGAAAGCUCUGUUCUUUGUUCAAUUGUGGACAUGAAAUCAAGUCUAAUGACUGCUACUUUCAGUAAGCAGGACCUGUUGGAUGUGAUGUCAUCAGAAGGGAACUUCAUGUUUAUCCUCCUCUGACCAUUCAAAUUGUGUUUGCAGGGUUCAUUUUUGUUUUUUGUUUUAUAUUGAAAAUGGUAAUUUAAUCAUUUUUUCUUCUAAAUAUAUUGACUGGAACUAUCUUGUGAGGAGGAGCUCUGCCUUCACUUCUUUUUAAAAAUAUAUAUAUAUUUAAAGUUUCUUCUGAUUUGUUACACAUGAUGGCAGGAUGCAAUUCAUUUCAUAUUACACAUACAGAGCAUAAUUUUUAGAGACACUGAUUGUACACAGAGUAUUUUCAAACCAUUUGUGUCUUAUACAUAUACUUAGGGGUAAUGAUGUCUAACUCAUCCCACCAUCAUUCCUACCUCUUGCCCCCUCCUUUCCCCUCCCUCUCCUUUAACCUAUAUAAAGUUCCUCCAUUCCUCCCAUGCUCCCAACAAAAUCACCAUUAUUUGUCUGCAUCCUCAUAUCAAAGAAAACAUUCGGAUUUUGUUUUUUAGAGAUUGGCUUGCUUCACUUAGCAUUAUGUUCUCCAACUUCAUACAUUUAUCUGCAAAUGCCAUGAUUUUAUUUUCUUUUAUUGCUGAGUAAUGUUCCAUUGUGUAUAUAUACCAGAGUUUCCCUAUCUAUUCAUCUACUGAAGGGCUUCUAGAUUGGUUCCAUAGUUUAGCUAUUGUGAAUUGUGCUGCUAUAAACAUUGAUAUUGCUGUGUCCCUGUAGUAUGCUGUUUUUAAGUCCUUUGGGUAUAGACCAAGGAGAGGGAUAGCUGGUUCAAAUGGUGGUUCCUUUCCCAGGUUUCCAAGGAAUCUCCAUAUUGCUUUCCAGAUUGGCUGUACCAAUUUGCAGUCCCACCAGCAAUAUAUGACUGUGCCUAUUUUCCCCACAUCUUUGCCAACACUUAUUGUUGUUUGUAUUCUUAAUAGCUGCUAUACUGACUGAAGUGACAUGAAAUCUUAGAGUAGUUUUGAUUUGAAUUUCUCUAAUUGCUAGGGAUGUUAAACAUUUUUUCAUAUGUUGAUUGAUUGUAUAUCCUAGACCUGUAGACCAAUGGUGCAGAAUAGAGGACACAGAUUCUAACCCAUAUAACUUCAGUUAUCUUGUAUAAGACAAAGACACCAAAAUUGUACAUUGGGAAAACUGGAAAUUCACAUGUAACAAAAUGAAAUUAAACCUCUAUCUCUCACCAUGCACAAAACUCAAAAUAGAUCAAGGACCUAGGAAUUAAACCAGAGACCUUGCACCUAAUGGAAGAAAAAGUAGGCCCAAAUCUCCAUCAUGUUGGUUUAGGCCCCAACUUUCUUAAUAAAACUCCUGUAGCACAAGAAUUAAAACCAAGAAUCAAUAAAUGGGAUGGAUUCAAAUGACAAAGCUUUUUCUCAGCCAAUGAAACAAUCAAUGAGGUGAAUAGAGAGCCUACAGAAUGGGUUCAUUUUUUCCUACCCUUUGUAAUAAAAUUAGGACAUGUCAUGAAAUUCCACUUUCAUGUCAUAGAGAGUCCUUUGCUCCUCAUUGAUAGUUAUUAAUAUAUUCAGGAUAGAGCAAUAUUUUUAAAAUAUCCCCAAAAGUUUUAGAAGCCAGGUACCCCCCCUCUUCCAGCUCUGUACUUAGGGCUGCUUGCUUGCUGACAGAAAGAAAAUAUGCUAGGUUUUUUCUCUUUUUCUCUGCCUAGAGUUUUGCUUGUCUUCUAGGACUUCACUUUUUCCCCCCCUUCAGUAGAUUUCCUCUCGUUUCUCUAGGGCUGAGAGAUGCAGGGUGAAGAAUUCAAAAGACAUGGCAAAUGAAAGCUAACUUGAUGGCUUCUAUACAAAGCUAGCUUAGAUGCUCUUUGAAUGGAAGGGACUGCAAACUGAUUCUUCUCUUGGGCUUUAUCAGGGACUCACCAUUACUUAAUAUCAGCUAAAUAUCUCAUCUGAGGCCACAUUAAGUACCUAGAUGAACACUUUCUAUGGAGGUCUCUUUGCCCUCAACUUCUAUAACUCAGUAAUACCCUCUUGUGUAUUAUCUAAGACAUUACUAAAUCAGCUGCUCUUAUGUAUAGUCUACACAUAGUCUGUAGGAAAUACUAAUUUGGUCUGACAAGCUCUGAUAAGACAGGCCACAUCCAGUCCUGCCACCUCUUGUACUUUUCCAUCAGAGUCGGAGUCACAGUCACUAGUACUUUGGGUCUUGCCAGUGCAGAUUCAUGUUCAUAGCUUACAAGUGCAAGAAGAUACUCUUCAAGCUCACUAGGUAACAUUAUUAAGACAUCUCCAAUAGGCUUGAAGUGGGGGAGAAAUACACAGUGCUCUCCUGUGGAGAAGGGAAGAUGGAACUUCCAGUACAAUAUAGCUCCCUCUUCGGAAAGACACUUCUGAUUUCUUCUUCACUCCCUUGUAGACCGGCAUUGAGUGGUCACUUUGUGGUGUGACACUGGUUCUUGCUCAUUUGCCGUGAAUGUCCCAACUGCCCUGGGGUUUCUUCUUUCACUUUGGUAAUGGGGGUGCACUUGCUAUCUGUCUCAAGACUUCAGGGCAAGAUGUCAAAUCCCUGAGACAUAAGGGAUUCCAUUUUGAUAUCUAUCCAAAAUCAUAAUCAUAACUAACUUAUAUUGAUCAUAUGUUACAUACCAGGCUCUCCCUCCCAUACACAUUUAAUAUGUCACUCAGUCCAACAUUAAAAGGAAACAGAAGUUUACAGACGUCAAAUAAGUUGCAUAAAGUGAUCCAGGUAACAAGUUGCAAAGAUCUUUCAACCAUUAUGCAUUAUUUUCUUAGGGAAAUAGGGAAUAGCUUUGCCUCUUAGAAAAAAAAAUACUAUGCAUUAAUUAGAAAGAAACGCUGUAGUUGUUUAAUGUCUUUGGUUUUACAAUAGGAAAACCAGAAAUUUAUGGCAAAAUCAAUAUUAAUAACUCUACUUGAUAAACAUUUUAUUCUCUUAGUUCUUACUACAGCAUUGUGAAGUAGUUGGGCUUGUCUUCAACUUGUAGAUGAGGAAAUUGAGGCUAGGAAGAAGUUAUGUUACUUUCUGUGGGUUGCACAACCGGGGAUAUUUGAGCUAUGAUAUAAUCCAGAGUUUCAGAUCAUGACCAACUUUUCUUUUCUCUCUACUCUGAAGGGACAUACUAGCAGAAGGAAAGUGUUCCAGUGUGGGUCUCUGAGCUGUGGCAGAUGUUUAAAGUUAUUUAGUAAAAAGCUGUUUGUAACACAAGUUUGUCUCAAGAUGAGUCAAUACUACAAAAUAGUUAUGAAAUUUGCUGAACUCCUUGCAAGCAAAAAGUUAUCUUCUUCAUCUUGGAAUCCCUAGUGCCUGGCCCAUGGUUGAUACUGUUAUUAAUGAAGUAAACUGUAUUUUAAACUCUCUGUUGGAAAGGCAUACUUCGUGUGAAACAGAUUGAUGUUUUAUCCUUCUCCUGGGUAUUUCCAUCUUGUAUGAUGGAAGGGAAAACUAAAUGAAUGAUGUCUAAAAUUGUAUUUCCUAUUCUGCCAAUGGAAGAAAGGUAGAAAAGGAAUGGGAAAGAGAAUUUUGUGGUUGUUUAUUUGUUUUUUUUGUUUUGUUUUGUUUUGUUUUUUGAUGUUUCAAAUUUUACUUCAGAGAAGACAACCAACUAUCAGUAUGACUUAGGGGGAAAAACAGAAUGCUUUUUUGAAUUAUAGAAUGUCUAGAAACACUUUGCUUCAAUUCACAGAACCAAGUCUCCAAAAUUUCAGUCAUCUAAAAAUGGGGUAGGCUGUUUCUAAUAUAUCCAGACACACUUCUACUAAGGGAUCUGCUGGCUGGGAUCCAGAAGGAGGGAUUGAAUUGUAGUGGGUGGUAUGAACUAGGAAGUCCUCUGUCCUUGAACUUUUCAAUGUUCUAGAAUUCAUUCAGGUGGUUGAUCCAGACGGAGCUAACCAGGUCUGUCUGUUUUCCACAGGUCUGAGGCGCAAUUACAGAUGUACCAUCUGCAGUGUCUCCCUAAAUUCAAUAGAACAGUAUCAUGCCCACCUGAAAGGAUCUAAACACCAGACCAACCUGAAGAAUAAGUAGUGAAAACAUCAAUCAAGAGAUUUUAAAAAUGCCAGCAUUUCUCUGCUGUGGAGAAUCGCUUAUCAACCAUUAGAGGAGGAUCCCUUCUUGAACAAUGAACAUUUCUUAUGAGGAUUCACAGAUUAACAUAUGACUAAUCUUGAUUUUGGAAAGUGAAUGAGAUUUCUUUCUUUCCUUUUUUUUAAGUUUUGUGGUAAGUCAUGAUAUUUGGCUUGAUUUUUUAAAAUAAUUCUUUCCUGAUAACAUAUUUAGCACAUGUUCUAAAUUAUAAUCCUAUAGCAAACAGUUGGAGCAUUAUUCAAACUUACAAAGAGUGAAAAAGUCUAAUUUUCAAUUUAUUCUAGAUUUCCUCAGAGUAUAAAUAUUCUAUGAAAUCCUUGAUGAUUGUGAUGUAAAUCACUUCUAUCCAGAAAUAAACAUUCUUUUGUCAUCAUGUUGAACGUAAUCGGUGGCAACAUGCACAAAUCUGAACAAAUCAUUAUUAGUAGAAGAUAUAUAAUGGAGAAAUACCAGUCCUUCACCUUCAAACACGUGAGCCAGGCUUGCCAUCUGAAUGAGAGCAAGGAGGAUGAAUAAAGGAAGAAUCUUUAUCCUUUUCUUCUGAUCACUCCAAGGAUGGUUUCUCAAGGUGAAGCCAAGUCUUCUGCAAGCUGCCAAAUAGUAGCUUAGGAAAAGAAUUAGUUUGCUUGCAUGAUGAUCCUCUUAGGCAAAAAUGACUUCACAGCAGUUCACCUUGGUAAAAUCUUUUACUGAAGGCAUCCAAAAAAAAAUCAUGUACCCCAGAAUGAGAUGGAAAUUUGCAUUUCUUAUGAAGCUGGCCUGAAUUGUGGGUAUUAAUUUGGGGUACUGAUGAUCUGAAAUGAAGUAAAGAAAUCCUGAUGAAACAGCAGCCUUGGGUAGGACAAGGUCCCCUAUUUCUUCUGUUUCUCAUCGAAGUCCUGUUGCUGAGCCAAGAGUCCAUCACUUUGGGAAGAACACCACUGGAUAGAAUGACUGGAAAAAUCACCCCUCUAUGAUGGGGAACAUCUCUGAGUACAAAUCAUAAAGUUCUUUCUCCAGGUUUCAUUCCCCAUGGUGACCAGAAGUGGUGUCUUGCAGGCUGGCUACAAGCCAGGACAUUUGAGUUUCUAUUCAGGAUGCUAUCAGGCUCCAGCUGGAAUCUGGCCAGGGCUGCCCUUUGCACCUUGUGACCCACAGGUGGUUGAUCUCCAGGUGGGCAUCCUUUGUUUUCUGCGGAGAGCCAAGGUGGUUAUAACUCAGUGAGCAAUAAAUGAAAUGACACAGAAA